rnacentral:rRNA from 1 species
AGUGAACGCUGGCGGUAGGCCAACCCAUGCACGUCGAACGGCAGCACAGUAAGAGCUUGCUCUUACGGGUGGCGAGUGGCGGACGGGUGAGGAAUACAUCGGAAUCUACUUUUUCGUGGGGGAUAACGUAGGGAAACUUACGCUAAUACCGCAUACGACCUACGGGUGAAAGCAGGGGAUCUUCGGACCUUGCGCGAUUGAAUGAGCCGAUGUCGGAUUAGCUAGUUGGCGGGGUAAAGGCCCACCAAGGCGACGAUCCGUAGCUGGUCUGAGAGGAUGAUCAGCCACACUGGAACUGAGACACGGUCCAGACUCCUACGGGAGGCAGCAGUGGGGAAUAUUGGACAAUGGGCGCAAGCCUGAUCCAGCCAUACCGCGUGGGUGAAGAAGGCCUUCGGGUUGUAAAGCCCUUUUGUUGGGAAAGAAAAGCAGCAGGUUAAUACCCCGCUGUUCUGACGGUACCCAAAGAAAAAGCACCGGCUAACUUCGUG